rnacentral:rRNA from 1 species
GGGGAAUAUUGCACAAUGGGCGCAAGCCUGAUGCAGCCAUGCCGCGUGUGUGAAGAAGGCCUUCGGGUUGUAAAGCACUUUCAGCGAGGAGGAAGGCGUUAAGGUUAAUAACCUUGGGCGAUUGACGUUACUCGCAGAAGAAGCACCGGCUAACUCCGUGCCAGCAGCCGCGGUAAUACGGAGGGUGCAAGCGUUAAUCGGAAUUACUGGGCGUAAAGCGCACGCAGGCGGUUUGUUAAGUCAGAUGUGAAAUCCCCGAGCUUAACUUGGGAACUGCAUUUGAAACUGGCAAGCUAGAGUCUUGUAGAGGGGGGUAGAAUUCCAGGUGUAGCGGUGAAAUGCGUAGAGAUCUGGAGGAAUACCGGUGGCGAAGGCGGCCCCCCUGGACAAAGACUGACGCUCAGGUGCGAAAGCGUGGGGC